UUAUAGGCUUCUCUCGAAGUCACUACAUUCAAUCUUUUAAUCAAUUU
rfam:Gossypium raimondii chromosome 11, whole genome shotgun sequence.